CCCAUCUCCUCCAUUUCCUCUCGCCUUUCCCCUCCUUCCGUCCUCCUCGUCGCGGCUCCAGCUAGGGUUUCUCGCCGCUCUCCGCCCCACCACCGACCCCGUCAGCCAUGUCGAAGCAAGGAGGGAAGGCCAAGCCGCUGAAGCAGGCCAAGGUCGCCGAGAAGGACUACGACGAGACUGACCUGGCAUACCUCCAGAAGAAGAAAGAUGAGCAAAAGGCACUGAAGGAGCUGAAGGCAAAGGCAGGCCAGAAGGGUGCACUGGGAGGAUCCGGCCUCAAGAAGAGUGGGAAGAAAUGAGUCUGCCUAGAAAAUGAUAAACCAUCUAUCUAUCUGUGUUGCGCUCCACUAUCUGUGGUUGUAACAAACUGUCUUUCAAAUGUAUCGAGCUUUAAACUUCAUUGUCGCAGUCGGGUUGCUGGAACCUACUGUGUCUCAGCCUCUUCUGCUUAGCCAUGAUACAGAUGGUUCCCUAGCUAAUAAUAUGACGUGAUUUGUGACUGAAA